CACUACCAGUCAAAGAAAUUCCUUUCAGUGCACUGGAAUGUUCACUCCCUAAAAAAAUCCCAUGAUGCACCACAAAAACCAGGGAUUAUCAACAACCUCUGUGUUCCUUUACUGGAAAUCUGGACGUCAUAUCUUCUCAAUCCUCUCAAAAAUAUAUCAGAGGACCACAGAGCCAGAAUCAUUUAAAAUCAUGAGUAUGGAGUCACGUCAGUGGAAAUCAGAGACCUUAUGUGUAGUGAUCCAGGGUUCUUCAGGAUUCCAGUGAUCAGAACUAGAAGAUCUUGUUUCUAUGAUAGCAUGCAGCAUGCAGCUUGAAGACUUUUACCCAGUGUUGAGAGGACAAUACGCAGCUCAGCGCCCAUCACUGUGCCGUUGCCCUCCUUGUCAAAGACACGCAGACCCUCAACGUAGUCCUCAAAGGUUCCCUUGUUGGGGCUGUUCACAAUAAACUGCAGCAUGGGCAGGAAAGUCUCGAACUCCACUCUCUUAUUGGCCAUCUCUGUCCAGAGAAGGAAGGAUCAGGGGUCAGGGAGUCUCCAUUUCACCGGUAGAAUGGAAAUCAACUGAUGGGACAUUUUCAAUCAGUGUACACAAAUGAAUGAAUGAUGUUCUAGCCGUGAGUCUGAUCAAAAAUGAGUCAGGACUCUGUAUGAGACGUGUGUUUUUCCCUCUGUCUCCAUCUCAGAGAGCAGAAAUGGGUUUGAUAUCACCAUUUAGAAACAUGUGAGUGAAGAAAAAAUUACAUUUUUGGGGGGAUUUUUUGGACCCUUCUUUGAAUAUAUUACCCCUAGGAAGCUAGAUAAAAACAGAAAUACUUAUAAAACAACUAGACAUUCUUAAAACCAUGAUGACUUUUCAUAAGAGCUUCGUAUUAACCACCACUGUGGAGUGGAACAUGACAAAAGAUAUUCAAUGCUACACAUUGAGAAAUGGCCACUAUUUUCUGGCCACAAACUGAUAUACGUAAGAGGAAUAAAACUGUAAGGUGAUAACUGUGACUAGAAUUUUCCUAUAACAGCAUGUCCUGGAUUGUCUACAUAGUUUUACUACUGUAAUGUUUUUGUAAAGUUUAUACAUUAUCUACUAAACCCUUAACAUCUUGUUAAACCUUAGUGCUUCCUGUCACUCCCCUGACAAAGUGACAUGUCUAUAGACAAGUCUCUAAAAUGGAUCAUAAAAUGUGCUCAAAAACACAAUAUGAGGUAUGCAGUGUGAGAAACUUGUGCUCUAACUUCAGCGAAGUAAUGCCUUAAUGACAAACUAGCUAUUGUUUCAAGCAUGGAUAUGGAUUUGUAGUAUAAAUAUUGAAAUGUCUUUGGAAAUGAGAUUGUGAAUGUUCUAGAUCGUACCCUCAGCACUGGGGUUGCCAAGGAUCUUGUUCACUUCCUUGUUGGUGGGGUUUUGGCCCAGAGCACGCAUGAUGUCAGCGAUCUGGUUGUAGGCGACCUUGUUGUCACCGACUCUGUCGAAAAGGCCAAAGGCUUCCCUGUAGUCUGAGGGAAUGAACAGAGACCGAGGGUUUGUUUAGGAUGCAUGGCUCAUGAUAUCAGUCACAAGAAAUAUGACACAAUGUCUGUUGUCCUAAUCGAACGCUGAGACGGAUUUCUUGAUAUGCCGUGAAUGUAAUCUGGAAACAUGGAGGUUCUGGCACGUUUCCCACUAAUAAUGUAAAACCUUGCCGUUAAUCACAACCUGCCAGUCAGGUUAGCGUAGAAUGUGCGCCAUGGUAGACAUUUCACAUACUGAUCCUCGCACAAUAGACCCAACAGCUGCACACACUCUCGCCACAGGCUUUCACUAGGUUUGACCCAUUUCAAUUGGAUUUGCUUUGGGCUUCCUGGAAAGUGAGCUGCAAAAGAUUAAUGGCUCCUCACACACCGAGUCAAGCCUGAGGAAGGCGUUCAGGACGUCAACUUGGAAUCGAUACGACGUCCUAAGAAUAUAACUCCGUCCAUAUAAAGGCACUGGAGCGAGAGUCUGCGUGAGCCGCGCAAAACCAAGAAUGCUGACCGGUGUGUAACUAACACCACGCCUGAAGUCUGCCUGACCUCCCACAGGGCACUGAGGGGAUUCAGCUGCUUUACCAACACUGACCAAUGAAAAUAGCUCGCUUUUAGACUUAAAAGUAUUAUUUAACACGUGCAGAUUAUACCAUUUAUCCAGCUGAUUUUAUUCACUGAAUUUAUGUUUUUUGGUCCAUGGGUCCAUCUAUUCAUCCAUCCGAGAUCUAAAUCUAGUCUCUGAAGAAGGUACAGAGCAAAAUUUAUGCAAAUUUAUUACAAAAUAAAACUUACCCUCCAGCUGGUCUGGGGUGAACUGAACCUGCAGAAAGAAUACAAAUCAUUUUAUUGUGCUCUCUUCACUACUCGUGCAUCAUGCAACAAGGCAAAGACAGGAAAGAGGUCUACAAAUGGAAAAAAGAAACUUAGUGUAAACUUAAUGCCUAGCAAAAGCAAUCACUUUAUUGUGUCAUAUAUAUAUUUUUAAUUUGAUAUCAUUUGAA